GAUGAACGCUGACAGAAUGCUUAACACAUGCAAGUCGAUGGGGAAGUGGUGCUUGCACCAUGGCAACCAUGGCGGACGGGUGAGUAACGCGUAAGGGACUUACCUGCAGGACUGGGAUAACAGGGGGAAACUCCUGACAAGACCGGAUAAUGUCAUGGAGCUGCAGGGCUUUAGGAUGAAAGGAGACGCCUGCGGAGAGCCUUGCGUCCUAUUAGCUAGUUGGUGAGGUAAUGGCUCACCAAGGCGAAGAUAGGUAGCCGGCCUGAGAGGGUGGACGGCCACAAGGGGACUGAGAUACGGCCCUUACUCCUACGGGAGGCAGCAGUGGGGAAUAUUGGACAAUGGGGGCAACCCUGAUCCAGCAAUUCUGUGUGCACGAAGAAGGUUUUCGGAUUGUAAAGUGCUUUCAGCAGGGAAGAAGUAAGUGACGGUACCUGCAGAAGAAGCGACGGCUAAAUACGUG
rnacentral:rRNA from 1 species